GGAAAAAUGAACCACUCGUCUUUUGCGUGCAACGCCAUUCCUUACGCCCUGAUAAAGAACCUACAACCUACAGUUGAAUUCAUUUCAAGUCUCGUGUUCAUGUUUAGAAUUCUGAAGUUUGAACGAGAGCUUUGAUAUAAGCUCAAAACUGUACAGUUGUGACUUGCAAGGACUAGCUAUACACUACAAUAAUUUUGCUUACAAGAGACAGAAAAUAGUGUUUUCCUUUGGUUUCUUGAUAUAAAGAGAUUAUGUUUGUCCUGUAUCAACUUCCAUUGACAACUCCAGAAGUACCAGCUUCAGCUCGACGAGUUUGACUUUCUACCUGAGGCGUAGGAGUAACUUCUGAUGAUUGAUUUGGCUGUGCCCCUUCUUGAGAAUCAUGUGGCUCAUUUGACCAAUAAUUCCAUCUACUCCUCCAUUUCAGAAGCUCAAGAAGAAAAGAAGUCCCACACAUUACACCUCCAAAACCCGCAAAGGUGGCAAGAAGAACAGCUAGAACUGCCUGCACUCGAAGCUACAAUCCCGAGCAUAAGAUGAGAGAGUUUUUAGUAUUAGGCAGAGCCCGAGGCAAUUCAGGAAAUUCAGAAAAUCUUCUUCUUUUUUUCCUUUCCGAGUGGUCAGGUGAAAUGAUGGCAUAAUACAUAAUA
rnacentral:misc_RNA from 1 species